AUGGCCUUACCUAAUUUUGGUGAUCUUCACCUUAAAAAGCAAGAAGAUAUCGAAAACAAUGUCAGGAAGUUUAUGGUCUUGCAAUUUGAGCAUAAUAAUUUCUUUAGAAACGAGCUUAAGGAACAAAAGAGUUUUAUGAGUUAUAUGAAGAAAGAGCUCGAUGAUAUGUCCAAAGAAUUUGAUGGUGUAAGAGUCCAAAUUGCUCAUCGUGAAAAAAUGACCGCUGAAAUUUCGGAUAUGCAAGCCACCUUAGUCAAUAAGAUGGUCGCUAAACUGAAUAACUAUGAGAAUCAAGAUGAAGAUAUAAAAGUUAUUGAUGUGUCCCCUAUUAAAUCUUUGUUUUGCAAUAUGAAUCUUGAUGAAUCUGAUUAUGAUCUUCCCUUACCUAGAAGGCGUUCUAAGAAUUCUGAGUUUUUAGAUCCUGAUGAUGAAAUUGAUAAAAAAGGGAUUGAAAGAAAUAAAAAUCUAGAUAUUGCUAAACCCACUAUUUUGGAUCUCAAGAAAUUUAACUAUGAAAAUUGCUCUUUAAUUGAUUGUAUUUCCUUGUUGCAAUCCGUGUUAAAUUCUCCUCAUGCUUAUAGUAAAAAUAAGGCCUUUACCGAACACAUUGUUGACGCCUUAAUGCAAUCUUAUGAAGAAAAGCUUGAGUUGAAAGUUUCUAUCCCUAGAAAACUCCAUGAUGAGUGGGAACCUACAAUUAAGAUUAAAAUUAAAAAUUACGAGUUUCAUGCUUUGUGUGAUUUGGGUGCUAGUGUCUCUACUAUCCCCAAAGCUUUGUGUGAUUUGCUAGAUUUCCGUGACUUUGAUGAUUGCUCUCUAAACUUGCAUCUUGCGAAUUCCACUAUUAAAAAGCCUAUGGGAAGAAUUAAUGAUGUUCUUAUUGUUGCAAAUAGGAAUUAUGUGCCCGUAGAUUUUAUCGUUCUUGAUAUAGAUUGCAAUCCUUCAUGUCCUAUUAUUCUUGGUAGACCUUUCCUUAGAACGAUUGGUGCAAUUAUUGAUAUGAAGGAAGGGAAUAUUAAAUUCCAAUUUCCCUUAAAGAAGGGCAUGAAACACUUUCCUAAAAAGAAAAUAAAAUUACCAUAA
rnacentral:rRNA from 1 species